rnacentral:lncRNA from 1 species
AAGGUCUUCAAGCUUUCCUUUUGGAUUUGGAGACAUCAAAGCAUCUUGUUCAACAAUCUUCCCCUAUUUGAUGAAGACAAAUCCCUGAUUUGUUUGUGUUGUUGUUUUUGAACUUGAAAGGUCCUGCAAAACAGAAUUUGUGCAUAUACAAAGCAAGUAUACCAGCAGGAUACCAAGGCACACAAAACCAGUUUUCUGCAUAAGCCUUUAA